rnacentral:lncRNA from 11 species
AUGACACAGGGCUACUUAUGGCGGGGCUCUUUUAGGAUCUAUGGCGGCAGUGACAAGAAGUGGAGCCCAGAGGAGGUGGGUGGACACUUGACUCCUCAUACAAGAAGUCAGGGAAGAAGCCGGGGACAGAACGGAAACAUGUUGGCAUGGGAUCCCAUAACCAUCAGUGCAUGCAGAAUUAUAGACAAGUGCCACAUCAUUUCCCCUGGGAGUUGGAGAAAGAUCAAACACGAACUUAUGAUGGACCUGUGGGAAGCUGUUGUUUGAAUGAAUAGUUUACAUAGCAGCAGGGAGGAACUCACAGAAAAUUCAGUUUCUGGUGCUGGGAUGAUUAAGAGUUACAAAGAAAUGUCAACUGUGAAAAUAUUUUGGAGAAAUCUGAAGAUCCAGGAAUACAGUACUAGUGACAUUAGAAGCCUUUGAAACAUCUAUCCAAGUGAAAUGGCAAAUGAAAAAUCAGCUGUUCAGCAUGCCCCCAGAAAGGAGGAUACAACCACUUGGGAAACUACUUGAAAAGAGACAUACUUUAAUCUUAAUUGUAUCUGCCACCUGACAUUUGAGAAAGGCUGCAUCUUAUUUUUUUCCAAUAUAAAAUAGUUAUGUAUAAUCCUUAUGUUAGCUAUGCCAUAACAUAAUGAUCAGAAAAGAUGGGUUUGAGCUGCCGCAAAAAGCCACUGGUUGCAAGAAAAUGCUUCAUCUAAAAGCAAUCUCUGCACCCUAGGUCAUUUUAAAGAUGCCAUUUAAGUAAUGAAUAGGAAAGAUGUUCCUACAAUCAGGCUAGCUGACUAAAGAUAGAGUCAUCCUUGCAAAUAGAUUUUAUAGGAACAGAGGAAUUUGCCUUAGUAGGAAUGCUUCUUUUUUGGCACUAUAACUCACAGCAUUCCCAUGCCAGCAUGACUGGAUGACUGGUGACCAUAUAGAUUAUGAGAUUCUAGGAGCUGAAAUUUAGCUUUGAGUCGAAGAGUCGAAAUCCAGUUCUGAUACUCCCAGUCAAGCAUAUUAUUUGACUAUCUAGCCCAAUAUUGUCUGUUCUAGCUGACAGCAGUGAUCUGGCUUCACAGACAGAAGUCUUUCUAAUAAUCUAGCCCGGGACUGUGGCGCACACGGGAGAGCAAGCCAGUGCAAUUAACUGCAAUGAAUCACUGACCAGGA